rnacentral:rRNA from 1 species
UACGGAGGGGGCUAGCGUUGUUCGGAAUUACUGGGCGUAAAGCGCACGUAGGCGGCUUUGUAAGUUAGAGGUGAAAGCCCGGGGCUCAACUCCGGAAUUGCCUUUAAGACUGCAUCGCUCGAAUUGUGGAGAGGUAAGUGGAAUUCCGAGUGUAGAGGUGAAAUUCGUAGAUAUUCGGAAGAAACACCAGUGGCGAAGGCGGACUUACUGG